rnacentral:rRNA from 1 species
GACGAACGCUGGCGGCGUGCUUAACACAUGCAAGUCGAACGGAAAGGCCCUGCUUUUGUGGGUUGCUCGAGUGGCGAACGGGUGAGUAACACGUGGGUAACCUGCCCUUGACUUUGGGAUAACUUCAGGAAACUGGGGCUAAUACCGGAUAGGAGCUCCUGCUGCAUGGUGGGGGUUGGAAAGUUUCGGCGGUUGGGGAUGGACUCGCGGCUUAUCAGCUUGUUGGUGGGGUAGUGGCUUACCAAGGCUUUGACGGGUAGCCGGCCUGAGAGGGUGACCGGCCACAUUGGGACUGAGAUACGGCCCAGACUCCUACGGGAGGCAGCAGUGGGGAAUAUUGCACAAUGGGCGGAAGCCUGAUGCAGCAACGCCGCGUGCGGGAUGACGGCCUUCGGGUUGUAAACCGCUUUCGCCUGUGACGAAGCGUGAGUGACGGUAAUGGGUAAAGAAGCACCGGCUAACUACGUG